rnacentral:misc_RNA from 1 species
GAUGAAGAACGUAGCGAAAUGCGAUACGUAAUGUGAAUUGCAGAAUUCAGUGAAUCAUCGAAUCUUUGAACGCAUAUUGCGCUCUCUGGUAUUCCGGAGAGCAUGCUUGUUUGAGUAUCAGUAAACACCUCAACUUCCAUAUCUUUUUUGAAAUGGGAGUUGGACCUGAGUGAUCCCAACGCUUUUCCUCACCGAAAAGUGGCGGGUUACUUGAAAUGCAGGUGCAGCUGGACUUUUCUCUGAGCUAUAAGCAUAUCUAUUUAGUCUGCCUAAAAAACAGAUUAUUACCUUUGCUGCAGCUAACAUAAAGGAGAUUAGUUCUUGUGCUGACUGAUGCAGGAUUCACAAAGACGGCUUCGGCCGACUUUGUAAACUCGAUCUCAAAUCAAGUAAGACUACCCGCUGAACUUAAGCAUAUCAAUAAGCGGAGGA